UGUUACUCAGAAGUUGAAUGCAGCCAGCAUCAUGUAGAAAUCGAAAACUCUCUGAUGUUCGGCAAUAAGUUCUCAACUCUACCGUUGGAAUACCUCACAGAGCAGUUUUCGGUUGUCACGUUAAAGCCCAUGAGGGCGACUGUGUUUAUAUUCUUCAUCCAAUGGUACAACCCGAUGUGGUUAUCGGUGGUUGUUCGAGGUGGUUGAAGGUGGUCGGAGGUGGACG